rnacentral:tRNA from 1 species
GCCUUCGUGGUGUAGUGGUCAGCACACUCGGCGCGUAUUCGAGAGGUCCGUGGUUCGAGUCCCGGCGAGGGCU